rnacentral:lncRNA from 1 species
AGUAGUGACAUAUCAUAAUAUUCUUAUUAUUGUAAAUUGAAGGUGAUACUAAAAAACAGAUACAGAAGAGAAAAACUAGCAAAAGGCACAACUUUGAAGAGAUCGUUGAUAGCGAAAAGUAUACAUAUAUACAUAAAAUGCUUAAAUUGCUUAUAAAUGUUGCGAACCAUAUGAAAGCGCUAUUGUAAGGACUUGCCACGAGCAGCAGAUGGCGGUUGCGCAGAACCCUUGGGGUAUUUCAGCAGCAAUGGAUCGAGUUCAGCUUGGGAGGAUAUUUUGUGACGACUGCCAUCAGGAGCUUUGAUGUGAAUGACUCCUUCUUGGGUCCAAGAACACCGCAUACCGAAAUGCAGUCGCGCCUUGCUGAAAACAAGCUGCCUGGUCCGAGUCAGGAACUCCUUAAUGGCAAUUGAAGAUCCCUUCAGUGAUGUUUUGGCUCUCCAUACUGAAGCUUUCUGACUCACAUCAGCAAACCUCACCAAUAUGGGUCGAGGACGAUCCUUAUUUGAUGUUCCGAGCCGAUGACAAAUGGUGAUGUUAUCUCCUGAGAUAUCUUUGAGAGACAAUUUAUUAUGGAGAGUCUCAAGAAUAUGGGCUUUGCAGUCCUUCUUGUCAUCUUCAGGGAUCCCAGUAAAAAUAAGUGCCUUCCGUCGACUCCGCAUCUCCAACCCGUCAACCAACUUGGAGCAUUCCUGUAUCUGGUUCUCUAAAAGGCUCAACAUAGUAAACACCAACUCACGGAAACCACGAAAUUCCUCGGCAAGUUUAGCAAUGGUGUUGGACUUCGGGAGACUAGCAGUCUGAAUUUGAGCUUCCAUCUCCGACAUCUUACUCAGGAUGAGCUCCUCCAAGUUCUUCUGGGUUGCGUGAACAUCAGCCAGUUGUAUUUAUGACAUAUUAGUGCUUGUAGGAAGUGUGUCAAAAUUUGUGCAAGUGAUCAGCUGGUAGGUGGUAUAGUGCAAGUGCUAAUAUUUACAUAACACUUCACCCUCUCUAUAUAAGUUUUAGCAACUAGUAUAUUCCUCCAAAAGCAAAGAAAUAAAUUGCUAACUAAUUAAAUUAAUAUUUAAUUGAUAUUUAAUUAAGAGCACAGUAAAAA